GAAAAAGUCGACUUUUUAAUUUCACUUUUGGUCGUUAGGAGUUACAAUAAUGAUGUUGGUACCAAAGCCUAAUUUGAAUAUAUGUAUACUUUGCCUAUGAAUGAAUAUUUGUUUCUCGACAAGUGUUGUUCGGCGAAAAUUUCACUGCCGCUGGGUGUCGACUUUAGUAACAAAUUGUUUUAUUCAUCUUUAAUAGUUAACUAACCUGUGAACCACUGUCAACACUUCGCCAAGUUAAGACUUUAUUCAUUCAUAGGAACAAGUAUACAAUACGAUUGUCCAAGUUGUACAUUCACGUGUUUUUUGUUCUAUAUUAACAUAUGUACAAACAUUCAUACAACCUAUUUGGUAGAAACAAAUAACGAUAAGUUUGCACUAAAAACCUAUGCGUGUAGUUGCUGUACGACUCUUUGUCUCUUAGUCCAUAUUUCCGGCUACGGCCUUCUUACCCGCGUAUAUUCACAUUCGGUUGUUCGUUAAAAUCCGUCCUUCCUUCUCAGCAUUUAUCAUCUGUCUUGGUCAAAAUUUUUAUAAUUCAACGGCAACAAAAAGAAGAGAGCAAUCAAGCAAGCAGACAAACGUUUUUUUUUUUUUAUUUUACUUUUUCUACUAAUAUAUCUGGCCUCUUAUGCUUUAGAUAUUUCUCCUUUCUUAUGGACAGACGGUGGCGAGAGUGUAGUGAGUCAAACUGUCAAGCUCACAAACAGAAAUGCUGCCAUUUCUUUACAAUCUUCUUUGCUGUAGUGUUCGUUCAUUCGUUCGUUGUCGUUGAGAAAAUGUACAAUAUCAACAAAUAAAGUGUCCAAACCGAAAACUCAUAAAAUACGCAAAAAUAUACAUACACUCACGCCAUACACAUACAAUGGGUCUUCAAAAACUCGAAUGGUCGUUGUCGUAAACAACAAAGUGCAAAAAAAAAAUUAGGAAUACUACCAUAAAAACGCGCUCUGUUAUUUGAUUGCCUUAUAGUCAGCCAUCAGCCAGAGACAGCGACAGCGACUGCAGAGCCAAGAUCCGAUCCAAUCCGAUCCGGUACCUCCGCCAUCCAUCUCAACACCACACCACUACUACCAUCAGAGUCAAUCAAUGUUUAUUUUUUUCAAUUCAUUUUAUUUUUUGGUUUUUUGUGCCACUGCGAACCAUCGAGCAACGAGCGAGAGCUGUUUAAUGUUUUGUACUUUUUCUUUGUCGUUCCUUGUCCGUUCUGUCAGAAUUACAAACGCCUGAUUUUAAGCGUAUUUCGAGCAAAAGUAUACGCUUCGUACGUGCGUGUGCAGAAUAAAUUCGUCAAAAAACACACGUAAAUUACAAAGCAACAAACAGGAAUCACCAUCACAAUCAUCAUCAUCUGUUUUUAAAAUAACCUUCAAUAUUUUACAAGUUUUAAUAAAACACAACAACGAUGGACGGACUACUUUGCAUUGAAGGUGUUAUUUUGCUUUAAAUCAAAAUAUUUUUCUAUUUCAAUACAUGUCAUGUGGCAGGCAGAAUGGCAAAACUUUUUUAGAUUUAUUCUGUGACAACCGGAAAAUAGGGGUAAACCAAUGAAGGGUUGAUAGAACAUAGCUCCGUUCGUGUACUUCACCAAUAAAAAUUUGCAAAACCAAACACUAACUUAAUUUACUUUUUUUUACUAGUGCAUAGGUAUGGAGGCCACCGUAGCGCAGAGGUUAGCAUGUCCGCAUAUGGCGGUGAACGCCUGGGUUCGAAUCCUGGCGAGACCAUCAGAAAAAAUUUUCAGCGGUGGCCUUCACCAUCUAAUGCUGGCAACAUUUGAGGUAUUAGGCCAUUUAAAACUUCUCUCCAAAGAGGUGUCGCACUGCGGCACGCCGUUCGGAUCGGCUAUAAAUAGGAGGCCCGUUAUCAUUGAGCUUAAAAACUUAAAUCGGACUGCACUCUUUGAUAUGUGAGAAGUUUGCCCAUGUUCCUUAGUGGAAUGUUCAUGGGCAAAAUUAGCAUUUUCAUUCGCAUAGGUAUGGGCUCUCCUCUUCAAGAGGCGUUGCUCGGUUAGUUGUUCGAAUUUCAGUUGUUAUUAUGUUUGGAGUUUUCUCAAUAAGAUUACAUACAUUUUAUUUAAAUUUCAAUGUAAGUAAAAAUAAAAUCAGAAUUUUUUAGACCGCAAUGAAUUAUAUGACAAAACUACUAAAAAAAUUUAUAUAUCCAAUUGUUAUCCGUACUCUUUCAUUUAAAGUAUCUACUUAAGUCUGGUACUAUCUUCGUUUUUCACAUGGGUUUUCAUGUUUUUCACAAUUAUUUUUUUUAAACGAUACACAAAUAACAAUGUUAUUAUAUUUUUACCAUAAGUAAUGAGGGAAAGUCCUACUGAAUGAAAUCAGCAAGUCCUCUAUUUGCUUUACAAUUUAUAAUCUAAAAAAAGAAAUCUGUGAAAAAUAACGCGAAGAGCGAAUAUAGAACCAGCCCCUUCGUGAGGGAUUCUGGUCAUUUGUAAAAGGAGUAAAGGCCAACUUCUCUGGCUAUACGAACACUUUCAUAACACGAUCAGAUAUUCAAUUUCAUGGCAGCCGGCUAUACGUACCGGAUUGACACGAAGGAGGUCUUCAUCGGCAAGGGCUGCCGCCUCAGCAACGUUACCGUUGGAAAUUUUCAAAAAGUGACACAAAAAGUGUCAUUUGUUAAAAAAGAGUGGCAUUUUAUUUUUUGAAAUGUGGCACAAAAAGUGUCACAUUUUUUUCGUUUUUAAUUUAAAAAAAAACUGGAGUAACAAUAACAAAAGCAUACCUUCUGCUUUUUAUAUAAACAACAUAAAAAAUUGGUCCAAAAUUUGGCUCAAUAUUUUCAUAAAAAACAACAAUGAAACGUGUAUAACAAACACAAACAAUUCAGUUCUUUUAUAAAAAACAAAAAAAGGCGUAUAAAAGAUAAGUUCGGUCAAUCCAAAUCUUAGAUUCCCACCACCGUAAAUCAAUCCUAGGUUUUAGGUCGAGGCUUUUUGUAACCAAAAACCCAAUUCAAAUUUGGACGGACGCACGGACUUCGCAAAAUCGAUCUACGAUCUACAGAACGUUUAUUGUUUCAGAAUGAUUCCUCACUCUCUCUAUACAUAAAAAACGGGUUAAAAAAUCUGGAUGUAUGCUUGUAACCGUGGCAUGUCCGGUUAUACUCUUACGAAUGCUGGCUAUAUUUGUGAGUUAUCCUGCCAUGUUAAAAUUUCUCUACCAAGCGGUGUUUUUAUGCGGCACUCCGUUCGGACUCGGCACAAAAAAAGGAGGCCCCUUACCAUUGAGCCCAAACAUUAAUCGGAUUGCACUCAUUGAUAUGAGAGAAGUAUUCCCGAUUACUUCAUGGAAUAUUCAUUGGAAAUUCAUGUUCUAGUUUUGUUGUUUCUAGAAAAUCACUCAAGGCCUUUGGAAAUCUUUACUUUAAAACUUAAAAUAGAGGCGAAAUAAUACGACAUAGGUAUACCUGGAUAAUGCAAAAUGCAACCAAAAUGAAAAGAUGACCUUAAAACGUUCUAUUAUAACAUCAGAAUAAAAAAUAUAUUAUAUACGUGUAGUAAAA